rnacentral:rRNA from 1 species
GACGAACGCUGGCGGCGUGCUUAACACAUGCAAGUCGAACGGUAAGGCCCUUCGGGGUACACGAGUGGCGAACGGGUGAGUAACACGUGGGUGAUCUGCCCUGCACUUCGGGAUAAGCCUGGGAAACUGGGUCUAAUACCGGAUAGGACCACUGCCUGCAUGGGUGGUGGUGGAAAGCUUUUGCGGUGUGGGAUGGGCCCGCGGCCUAUCAGCUUGUUGGUGGGGUGAUGGCCUACCAAGGCGACGACGGGUAGCCGGCCGGGGAGGGUGACCGGCCACACGGGGACUGGGAUGCGGCCCAGACUCCUACGGGAGGCAGCGGUGGGGAAUAUUGCACAAUGGGCGCAAGCCUGAUGCAGCGACGCCGCGUGAGGGAUGACGGCCUUCGGGUUGUAAACCUCUUUCAGCACCGACGAAGCGCAAGUGACGGUAGGUGCAGAAGAAGGACCGGCCAACUACGUGCCAGCCGCCGCGGUAA